rnacentral:lncRNA from 1 species
UUGUUACUGGUUCUUCCAGAAUUCUGGACUGUUGAAGAUUGGUUCAAGGAGUGAGCUUGGUGUGAAAUUCCAACCGGAACGGAAAGAUUGCGGCAUUGUUGGAGGUGGCGGAGAAUGCCAUGGGGUGGCAGGCGCAAAGACUACAUGCCAACAUGGGGUUUGGCGGAUGGGAGUUCACUGUAUAGGAAGGAAAUUUUGUUGGUUUCUUUGAUUUGAUUUUGAUGCACGUUGCU